CCUGUGGACGGCACCGGAUGUUUCUUCAGGAACAACAACACGGCUACUGAUUCAACCACCUCGGUAGCUUGCUAGCCAACAUGAAUUCGAAACAUUGAAGCUCUGAAUACCGUUGUUGUGUAACUACACGAAUCCCAGUGUUUUAAACACAGCUCUGUUAACAUAUGUACUAGUUGAUUUAAACUUAAUUCGCUUCGGAGCCUAGCACCAGGGUAGUCGAUAAUGCUAGCUAGCAAACAUCCCCGACCAUGAACUCACAAAGUUAUUCCCCCCCUGCUAUUGAAGAGGUCUGCUGGAUGGAGAAAGAAGCUCUUAGGCUGAACGUUGUCGUAAAAGAGGAAGACGAUGAUAUUACAGUGAAAGGAGCGGAAGAAGCAUUCAGAAUGAAACAAUAUAAAAUGGAGGCUAUCACGUUGAAAGAAGAACAGGAUGUUAAAGUGAAAGAAGAGAAAAUACCGUUUGUUGUGAAAAAGGAAGAGGAGUUAGAGGCUGUCACAGUGAAAGAAGAGGAGGAGACUGAAGAUCCGAUUAAAACCAAGCCAAAAACGAGGCAAUAUGCUCUUUUCUGUCCCUCCCAGAGCUCUACAUUGAAAGAGCACCACAGAAAGAUACAGGAAGAGUCUAGCGUGGCACCCAUGAGUCCCAGACAGUUUGGUGGUGGUGGUGACGACGCAGAGAAGCACAAGCCAGCGCAGAGGGAGGGCGGUGACCCAUCGCUCCCACACCCCUCCCCUCUCCCCGAGUCCCCAGGUCAUGCCUCUCCCGGUAAUGCCUUAAUGUGGGGUCUGAAGAGGGUGUCUGUGCGGCUGGUGAACUGCAGGAAAACUCCAGGGCUGAGUGGAACUGUGAGAGAAGGAGAAGAGGGAGAUUCAGAUUCAAUGUCAUCAAGAGAAAGACCAGACUCAGAGUAACCAGAGCCAGAGACAUCAGCAAGACGACACCACUGCUCCCAGUGUGGAAAGAGUUUUACCCGGUUAUUGCACGUGAAAAGACAUGAGAGGACACACACAGGAGAAAAGCCCUUCCACUGCUCCCAUUGUGGACAGAGUUUUACCAGGUUAUAUAGCCCGAAAAGACAUGAAAGGACACACACAGGAGAAAAGCCUUUCCACUGCUCCCAGUGUGGAAAGAGUUUUACCCGUUUAUGGCACUUGAACAUGCAUGAGAGAAGGGACACAGGAGAGAAGCCUCACGACUGCUCCGAUUGUGGAAAGAGUUUUACCCAAUCAUGGCACCUGAAAAUGCAUAAGAGAAUGCACACAGGAGAAAAGCCCUUCCUCUGCUCCCAUUGUGGGAAGAGUUUUGCCCAGUUAGGGAGCCAGAAAGAACAUGAAAGAAUACACUCUGGAGAAAAGCCCUUCCAGUGCUCCCAUUGUGGAAAGAAUUUUACCUGGAUAGGGAACCUGAAAACUCAUGAGGACACAUACAGGAGAGAAGCCUUUCCACUGCUCCUUGUGUGGAAAGAGUUUUACUCAGUUAGGGGGCCUGAUCAAACAUAAGAGAAUACACAAAGGAGAGAAGCCUUUCCACUGCUCCCUGUGUGGAAAGAGUUUUACUCAGUUAUGGACUUUAAAAACACAUCAGUGGACACACAGAAGAAAAGUCUCACACUUGCUCUCAGUGUGGAAAGGGUUUUGUUACGUUAAGGGGCCUGAAAACGCAUGAGAGAAUACAUACAGGGGAGGAGAAGCCUUAUCAAUGCUCUCAUUGUGGGAAAGGUUUCGGACGAUCAGGGUAUCUAAAAGUGCAUGAAAGAACGCACACCGAAGAGAAACCAUAUCAAUACUCCCAGUGUGAAAAUACAUUCUUCUCACCAGGGGACCUGAAAAAACAUGAGAGAACACACACUGUAGAGAGGCCUUUCCAAUGUUCCCAGUGUGGAAAGAGAUUUAUUCAGUCAUCGCAUCUGAAAGAGCACACAAGAAUACACACAGGAGAAAAUCCAUUCCAAUGCUCUCAUUGUGGAAAGGGUUUUACCAGGUUAAGGAGACUGAAAACACAUGAGAUGACACACACAGGAAAAUAGCUUUUCCACUGCUCCCAGUGUGGAAAGAGUUUCACCCAGUCAAGAUACCUGAAAAAGCAUGCGCUAACACACUCUGCUGAAGCCUUGAAAGAGAGAAGCUUUUCCACUGCUCCCAGUGUGGAAAGAUAUUUACCUAGUUAGGGAACCUGAAAGACCAUGGACCACACACUGGGGAGUUGCCUUACAUCUGUGUGGAAAGAGAGAUUUCACAUAAACACAGGCUGUUUAGCUAGGUAAUUAAACUAGCUAGCUGGCUAGGUAGUUAAGCUAGCUAGUUAAGCUGGCUAGGUAGUUAAGUUAGCUAGCAGAGAGAACAGUCUAUGACUAGGGUGCCUGGAGUCUUUGACAAUUUUUGGGCCUUCCUCUGACACCGCCUGGUAUAGAGGUCCUGGGUGGCAGGAAGCUUGGCCCCAGUGAUAUACUGGCCAUACGCACUAUUCUAUGUAGUGCCUUGUGGUCGGAGGCCAAGCAGUUGCCAUACCAGGCAGUGAUGCCCUGCUAUCGGGGUUAUCAUGGCAACGUUGGGUCUUAUUCUUCUGGAUCAUUUUGAUCAAACAAAGGAAAUCAUGGUGUCAUGACGUGCCCUUGGGGGGGGGGAUCAUAGUCCCCCCCCCCUCGCUCUCUCUCUCUCCACAGUUUUAUGACGGUCUUAAAUACUCUGCUUCUGGGUCUGUAGAAUUGGAAUUGGAAUAUGUGACUGUGGGACACAGAGAGAGACUUGGCCAAACUUUAACAUCAAAAGGUUGAAUGAUGAAACCAUAUUUCUGUAAAUCCGGACAGUUCGAAUGGUCGGUGGGAAAUCGAAUGACCAUGUCGAAUUUGUUUCAUUUGGUGACCUCAUGAAAGACAGGAGGCCCACAUUAUUGUAUGUUUGUUUGUAUACACUUCUCAACUAUGGGGUUUGCAUCUGAAUGUUGUAUAAAAUAAAUGAUUAAGCAUAAGAAUACUUUUGAAAGUAUUUUAGUGUUUUAGUGUUCUAAAUGAGAAUUGUUUUUCAUAGUAACUUAUGAUCAGGCAGUGGCCACGCCCCCCCCCCCCCCCCCCCCGUGAGCACAGACAUUUACAUUGGCGUCAUGGAACGCCCCUUCUCUACUCCAGUAUAAAACCCACUUCGGACUAAAUUUACAUUCGACCAAAACAUCCCGGGUUGCUGCCGGUGUGUGAAGUGGUUCUAGCUGUGACCUGAGUAAUCAACCAUUGAGACCAGAGAGCAUGAAACGGCAGUGACAUGGUUGCCAAUUUAAAUACAGACCAGAGGACGUAGGGACGCAGUCCAUACGUUACAAAUGGUUAAGAAGAAAAUCUCUACAAAACUGAACACUAGUAAUUCAGUCUGCAGCUGUUUGAGUACUUUAGUCUGGUAAACGCGACUGAUUGAACGACGAAUCGUACUCUGAAAGAUCCAUUCUAGAAAACUUUUCACUAUCGAACAACCAUUGGUACGCCUGACGUAUCCAUUAUAACAAGCUACAACUACAAAAUACUUUGAUCUCUGUUGGACAAACCAGAGACUUUCUGUCGACUGACUAUCCAGCAGAUGGAUCGGCGAUCACAGAGAGUGACAACAAAGCUAUACACUCGUAAAUAUGUAAAUUGAAUUUAUUUUCGAAUGAGCGGCUGUUCAUGUGCAAAAGGGUUAGCAUUUCCAUGAGCGUGGUUAUCAACUGUAUGUACAUGGGUCCACUUUGUUUUUCCCACUCUUUAUCUGUACUCACCCCUUUCCUUUGUCUACCAAGCCGUCAUAUCGGUUUAGUCCCAUAGGGACUAUUCAGUGUAUCAUGUGAGUAACCAAUGUAUAACCUAUCCUGUGUGUGUUUAUGUAAUUCUGUGUGAUUAUUUAGUUA
rnacentral:lncRNA from 1 species